AAACUCACCAGGUCAGGACACGGUAAGGAUUGACGGACUGAAGGCUCUUUCUCGAUUCCGUGGAAAGUGGUGCAUGGCCGUUUUUGGUUGGUGGAUCGAUCCGUCUGGUUAAUUCCGUUAACGAACGAGACCUCGGCACUCCGAAUAGCGCGGCGGACGUCGCGGCCUCCGGGCCGUCUUCCGCACGAGCUUCUUAGAGGGACCGUCCCCCGCCGGGGAAGGAGGUGCGAGGCAACGACAGGUCUGUGAUGCCCUUAGAUGUUCUGGGCCGCACGCGCAUUACACUGACGCGUCCAACGGGUGACUCCCGACCCGAAGGGGCCGGGGAAUCCGCAAGGCGCGUCGUGAUGGGGAUUGAACGUUGCAAUUGUUGUUCACGAACGAGUACUAAGAGCGUGUGGCGGAUGAUAUGGCGCUGAGAGCCGAUGAAGGACGUAGCAAGGCUGCGAUAAGCCUCGGUGAGCUGCCCAGCAAGCGACGACCCGGGAGUGUCCGAAU
rnacentral:rRNA from 1 species